CCUCCUCCAGGCGCGCCCCCCCACCUCCCCCAGGCACGCGAGCAGGCAGUUCCACCUCGCCGCCGCCCUCACGCCACCUCCGCCCGCUCUCUCUCGCGCACGCGCUACACGCCUCCGCCGCCUCUGCUCGCCCACCGGAGGCCGAUUCACCACCUCCGGCGCGCGACACGCCGCCGCCGCCGCUCACCCACUGGAGGCCGAUUCACCACCAAACACGGAGAAGCUCCGAAGGAGAAUCGCCACCACAAAACAGCUCCGAAGCCGGCCGCCGCCGGCCGGAUUCCGGCCAAAUCCGGCCCUCUCCACCAUAGGUGAGUACACCACCUCCCUCUCCUCUUCCUUUUUCCCUCCUCUCUGGCAUCCCAAUCCCGCCCUGCCGCCGGCGAGCUGGCCCUCUCCGCCAUAGGUGAGCACACCCCCUGAGUUCCCCUCCCUCUCCUCCCCUUUCCCCUCCUCUCCGGCAUCCCAAUCCCGCCCUGCCACCGGCGAGCUCGUCAGCCGAUCGCCCUGUCUGCCAUGGCCAGGACCCGUGGCGGAGGCUCACUCUCCGGCCUCGCGGGACGCGUCCUCCGCCCCUCGCUUUACGCCUCCUCCUUCCUGGCCAGCGCGCAGGGCAUCUUAGCUGCGAGGUCUGUGCCUCCUCAGGCUGAGGACUUUGAGGAUAAGAGAUCACUGGCCAUGCUUAUAGUUCAUUGCUUGCGAGCGGUCUGCUAAAAGUUUCAGUGACAAGCUUUUAUUGCUCACGUGAAGAAAUUCUUGUGGACAAUGAGGGGAACGCAGGGUGCUCCCAUCAUUGCAUCAACAAUUCAGAUCAUACUUGGUUUCAGUGGGCUCUGGCGCAAUGUUCUCAAAUUAUUAAGUCCAUUAUCAGCUGUUCCUUUGGUAUCACUUGUUGGAUUUGGACUUUAUGAGAUUGGCUUCCCAGAGGUAGCUAAAUGUGUCCAAGCUGGCAUUCCAGAACUCCUCCUGUUGGUUGUAUUUUCUCAGUAUUUGCCUCAAGUUUUGCAUUUCGGGAAGGAUGUCUUUGGAAGGUUUGGUGUUCUUCACUAUCCCUAUCGUGUGGAUCUACGCAUACCUUCUCAUCAUCGGUGGUGCUUACAAGAAUUCUUCACCGAAGACGCAGGUGCAUUGCCGUGUUGAUCGUUCAGGUCUUGUUGCAGGAGCUUCUUGGAUAAGUGUCCCCUAUCCCUUUCGGUAGGGUGCUCUAACAUUUGAUGAUGGAGAAGCUUUUGGAAUGAUGAUGACUUCAUUCAUUGCUCUUGUAGAGUCAACUGGCACUUUAGGUGCUUCAAGAUAUGCAAGCGCAACUGUCAAGGCAUUGGUAUCUUACUUGAUUCAUUUUUUGGGAUAGCUAAUGGGACAUCAGUUUCAGUGUAAGUAUAUAUGUGAAAUUUGAAGUGUCAAUCCUUUUUUUUUCAGAACCGAAUGUUUUGCCAAUAUGCAAUAUGAAUUUUUUGCUUACAGUGAGCAAAUACAGUUCUGGAUUAUAAGUGCCAGUUAGCAAAUACAGUGAUAGGGUUCAUAUGAUACUUUUUUUUUCUUCCUACAAUUGAUUGUAUGCAUUGCUUUGUGAACCAGCCCACUCACUCUUCGGGUAAUUCAGUCUUACUCCUUCCUGCAUUGCACUACAGAUUACUACUACCCUUCUUGUUUGUGAGUAAACUAAUUGAUUACUUAUCUCUAUUUUUC